rnacentral:rRNA from 1 species
CGGGAAACUGGGGAUAAUACCCGAUAGAUCUGGGCUGCUGGAAUGCAUUCAGAUUUAAAACUCCGGUGCCUAAGGAUGGGUCUGCGGCCUAUCAGGUUGUAGUGGGUGUAGCGUACCUACUAGCCUACGACGGGUACGGGUUGUGAGAGCAAGAGCCCGGAGAUGGAUUCUGAGACACGAAUCCAGGCCCUACGGGGUGCAGCAGGCGCGAAAACUUUACAAUGCCGGCAACGGCGAUAAGGGGACCUCGAGUGCCAGGUUACAAAUCUGGCUGUCGCGAUGCCUAAAAAGCAUUGCAUAGCAAGGGCCGGGCAAGACCGGUGCCAGCCGCCGCGGUAACA